CCAUGCUGAUAUAACUUACAACCAAAAACAUCCAGUUAUAUUACCAAGAGAAUCUCACAUUACUACACUGCUUAUUAGAAGUGAGCAUGAAAGACUACUGCACGCAGGCCCUAAGCUAUUAUUAUCUAGUUUAAAUCAAAGAUUUUGGAUUUGUAAUGGAUUAUCAGAAGUUAAAAAAAUAACUCACAAAUGUAUUACAUGUUUCAGACAAAAGGCUACGGUAGCCAAACAACUCAUGGGUUCAUUACCGGCUAGUAGAGUAACCUCUACCAAUAGAGCUUUCGUGCGAGUAGGUGUAGACUUCGCUGGACCUAUCGAUGUUAAAUUGUCACGCGUAAGACGUUCAGUAAUUGGAAAAGGUUACAUCUGCGUUUUUGUAUGUUUUACAACAAAAGCUAUUCACCUCGAGCUAGCUUCAGAUUUAACCACCGACACGUUUCUCGCUUGCCUGCGAAGACAAAUUUCGAGGAGAGGUCUUAUGACUGAAAUACAUUGUGACAAUGCUAGCACAUUCAAAGGUGCCAAUAAUCAAUUAAACGAACUCUAUAAGUUGCAAAACUCACAAAAUCACCGUCAGCAAGUUUAUAAUUUCGCUUCUCAACAGGGUAUUCAAUUCCAUUACAUACCAUGUUAUUCAGCGACGUACGGAGGUUUAUGGGAAUCGUCCGUGAAAAGUACAAAGUACCACCUGAAAAGGGUGAUAGGUAAAAAUGUGUUAACCUACGAACAGUUAAGUACUGUGCUGUGUGAAAUCGAAGCAGUCCUCAACUCUAGACCGUUGCUACCCUUGACCGCUGACCCAACUGACUACUCUUACCUUACACCAGGUCAUUUUUUAAUUGGUAACGUCUUAAUGAUGUACCCUGAAAGCGAUAUCACUAAUAUCCCACAAAAUAGAUUAAAGUUUUGGCAAAUUUGUACUCAAAUCAAACAAUCAUUUUGGAAAGUCUGGCACAAAAACUAUUUAAAUGUAUUACAAAAUAGACCUAAGUAGAAAUUUGAUGUAUGUAAUGUUAAACUAGGUAGUCUAGUUAUUUUAAAAGAGGACAACACACCUCCAAUGAUGUGGCCCAUGGCCAGGAUUGUAAAACUCUUCCCCGGGCAUGACAGCAAGGUUAGAGCUGUAGAAGUGAGAACUCCUAAUAAUAAGUCUCACAUUAGGGCUAUAAAUAAAAUUUGCAUAUUACCUAUUGAGGAUAAUAUUUAGUAAGUAAUUAAUUUUAAGUACCUACUUGUUAAUGUAGUUAUAAUUCAACCUAGCUUUGAUGUUAUUGUUAAACUUGUUUGUUAACACCAUUGUUAUUAUUGUGUUUUAUUAGAUAACUACAUGUGUAAUUUCCCUUUGUUGUUAAUACAGUAUAACAUCAGUUGUUAAUAUACUUAAUGUUGUGUUUUGAAUGUUAUUUCCAAAUACGUAUAGGUAUAUUAUUAAAAAACCAUUAUUGUAAAAGUAAAUUGAUACCUAAAGGUGUUAAGUACAUAGGCACAUAGUUAUAUUUCAUACAUUUAUUAAGAAAAAUGUUAUUUGUUUUCUCAUCUUGUGAGGCCGCAGCAUGUUGGCUAGCAACAUUAAUUAUCUAUGAUUAUUAUCUAUGUUUUCUAUAUUUCAUAUCAUUGUCUAUGUUCAACUUCCUCUUCCGUUUCUGCUCUUCACACGAAAAUACACGGAUCAAUCACAAUUCCCGUUUAUUAUUACUCCCACGAGCUUCAAGCACCCCCAGGGCCUACAAACCAACCACAUACAGUCCACUCCGCUCCAACCGUCAAUUAGAAAAAAGUUAUGUAAUACAACAUGAGCUAUUAUAAUUAAAUUUUAUUUAUUCUUAUCUGUUUAAUUAAAUCUGAUAUAAUAAUAUGCAAAACUUCGUAUAUUUUUUGUCCAAAUUAUCUUAACUUGUUAUUAUACAUAAAGAAAGAGAGUGAAACGAAACGGUCUUAUUUUAGGAGCGAACCGCGAAGGCGCGAAGUCUUGAGUCUUGGUACUUGUGGUUGGGAAAGCAAGAAAACUUUGUUGUGGUUUUAUAAAUUAUAUUCACGUACACCGUAUCUAUUAUGGAUGCUCAUAAGAAAAAAGGGCGGAAAACUGGAGUCCCGAAGAAAAAGUAAGUGUUACCUAGUAAUUCUUGUGUUCCCAUUAUUUUUGUCAUUAUAGAAUCAAACAAGUGUACCUACUUCUACAACUCUACUUGCAUUACGUACCUUAUUUGAUUACUUAUUUCUUUCUUGAAUUGUAGGAGGUAUUGAGAGAUAUAAUUGCUCAAGCGGCACAUAUCAUUGAAAAUAAAUCGACUAAUACAUCCAUAAAUAUGGCGAAAACCAAAGAGUGGAAAAAUAUAACUAGAAAAUUAAAUGAACUAACGGGAAAGGGAAGGGGAAAAUCGGAAAUAAAAUUAGCCUGGAAGAGGAUGAAGCUGGCGGCCAAGGCCAACGUGUCUGCACACAAGCGGGCACAAACAGCAACGGGAGGAGGUGAGAAGCCACCUUCACCUUCCGCAGAGGACCUGGAGGUGAUGGCCAUCGCUCCUCAAGAUUUUAUAAUCACUUAUAAUGAUUAUGACAGUGAUGCCAUGGUUCUACCUGUGCCAGUGCAACCUUCACCAGUGCCAGUACCAAUACCUGGUACUAGUUCAGAAGUUCCUCAAAUAUGAAUUGUACGAGUAGAGGAGCGAGGUAAAAUAUGUUACUCCUAGUCGCUAUUCAUGAUGAUAAUUAUGUACCAUUAAUAUGAUUAAUCUAUAUCUAAAUACUCUUAUUAUUUUCAGAAGAACCUAACUAUGUGGCACCUGAGGAAAGCAGGGCCAAGAAAAUUAAUUUAAAAAAAAAAAAUAUCAGUGUCCAACAAGACAUUUUAGACAGUAAUGCCCAAUGAAAAAAAGACAAAUGGAGAUGAUGGAAGAGGAGCACCUACUAAAAAAAACUUUGCUAGAAUUAAAAAAGUUCAAUUGGAGUUGCGUUUAAGGUGUGUCCAAACAUAAAGCGGCAUUCGAGCGCGGCUGCCGCGCGCGGCUUGCCGCGCUAUGAUUGGACGAUUGCCGCGCGCGGCAGCCGCGAGCUACCUGCCGCGCGCGACGAUCGCCGCGAACGGUGUUAGUGUUGGUUCGCCAGUGGUUGUGUGUGGACGGACGUAUUUUAUCAAAUAAAAUGGAUAAUGAAACAGCAAUUCGUCUUAUUGAAAUUUAUGGCUCCCAUAGUCCAUUAUGGGACACUAGACGUAAAGAAUAUCACAAUAAUAAUGUGAGAGAAGAUCUAUGGGAUGAAAUAGCAAAAACAUUCGUACAACCAAAAGCAGCUUUAAAAUUGAAAAUGAAAAGUCUUUUGAGUUCUUAUAGAAGGGAGAGAAACAGAGAAAAAACAAGUAAUG